GGGGGCGACCUGGCUUCGACGUGGGUUACGAAACCUGAGGUGCAUGCCGAGGCGCAGAUAACCUCGUAAAUCCAGCUGCAAAAACUAUAGUUGCCAACGACGACAACUACGCACUCGCAGCUUAAACCCCUGUAGGGUGCCGUCUGACCGGAGCCGUGCUUGUGCGUCCGGGUCCUUCGGGACAUUCAGGCGUCGACUCUCACAAGAUCGCGAUGAAGCACGUCCGGGGCUGAUUCGCUAAAACUUUACGGAAUCGCUGAUUGUCUUCCCUGCCCGUCGGGUAGCAACCAGUUAAAUUAAUAGACGUGGAUAAGCAUGUAGAGCCGAUGGCAGAGGAUUUGCGGACGCGGGUUCGAUUCCCGCCGCCUCCACCA
rnacentral:tmRNA from 1 species